UGUAUGCAUGAGGGAGGAUUUCCUGAAGACCAAAGAGGCCAUUACCCAGGGGCCAUUAGGCCUCUAGUAGAGCAUGUCAAUGAGUGCUGAGUCUUGCUCUGUUUUCACAUGCAGCCACUUGUCUCUGUGUGUGAGGCUCAGAACGCGGGGAGUGAGUCAUCAUCAUCAUCAGGAUGAAACGCUCUGACAUUUGAGCAUGAAAGUCCCAGCGUGCCUUUCAGCUCAACAUCUCUGGGCGCAAAUGUGUCACACCUGGCCUCCAGUUGAAAUGGCAAGAUCAGAGAACAGACAGCAGUGCAGGGAAA